GCCUUUGGGUCAGGCGGGCUAGGAACGGUGGACUCAUCCAACCCAGGUUGGGGCGAGCUUUGUCCAGCGCAUUCGCCACCGCAAGAAGAACAGAGCGCACCUUUGCAUCAUUUCCCCGGACAACCGUCCUGAUCAAAAGAGCUGUUCCCCACCUCCCGCAACUCUGCCUCUGCCCCUUUCCGGGUGUUAAAAUGCAUUUGAAAAGGGGACAAGGGCCUGCGGUCUGCUCAUUCCGAUGGGGACAGUGGAAGGGGGUCGAGCGUGGCUUGUGUGAAUCUAGGGGGCACCCGGGUCACCCUGGAAGCCCCUUCUCGAAACCCCAGCUGGACAGGCCUCUGUGGCAGAUUCUAGAGUCCCACUUGCUUCGGUCAACCCAAACCUCCAUUUUUAUCUCACCUGUUUCAGGAAUGGCCUUUGGCAGUGAAAAAUAGGGUUUGGCCCUUGGUGCUAAUUUCAUCCUGGUUGAAAGACAGAAACCUCCUUCACCCGUUCAGAGACGCCCCAGAGGUUGCUGAUGCGAGCACAGACUCAGACGCCCAGCUGGAGGAGACUUUGUUGCGCGACGUCUCUGGAGUCCUUCACAUCAUCCGGCACCGGCUGUGGAAGAUUGUGCGAGACAGGAGGAAACACCAGCAGCUCCUGCAAGAGAGCCAUUGACGGGCAGGACAAAAGCUACCACGCGGGAUGAGGAGGAGGCGGACCCGCUCCGGAUAAAGGCUAGGCUUUAGGGAAUAAAGAGGAAUUGAAGAAAAGGGG